UGGGCUGGUCGCCGUCGCUGGGGUGCGCUAGCGCCUCAGAGGAACUUCCCGACUCCCACCCGGUUCGGCCGGGAAGGUCGCCCCACGAAACAGUAAGUGGGGGCACCUGGUGAGUAAUCGCCAGGUGACCACAACCGCAACAGAGAGCAGUCCCGCCUGGCUUCGCCAGGUAAGGGGUGAAACGGUGGGGUAAGAGCCCACCAGCGGUGGCAGUAAUGUCACCGGCUGGGCGAGUGUGCGACCGGGAGCAAGGCGAGUGGGCCGGGCUUGCGAAAGCAGGUUCGGUCUCGCCGCAGCGGCGACGGCGAGGCAGGGUAACACCCUGCAAGCUAGGAGCCGCCACCGGGCUUAAGAGCCUGGUGAGACAGAUGACGGCUAAUACAGAAUCGGGGGUAUGGCCAGUCCCAAAG
rnacentral:RNase_P_RNA from 1 species